GAUGAAGAACGUAGCGAAAUGCGAUAAGUAAUGUGAAUUGCAGAAUUCAGUGAAUCAUCGAAUCUUUGAACGCACAUUGCGCCCGCUGGUAUUCCGGCGGGCAUGCCUGUUCGAGCGUCAUUUCAACCCUCAAGCUCUCCGGAGUUUGGUGUUGGGGCGCCUGGGGCUUUUCGACCUCAGGGCCCUCAAGUCCAUCGGCGGGACCGCCAGGACACUGAGCGCAGUAGUAUUAUUUCGCUCGGUAGGAUCAUCCACGGCGGGUCGAUCUGGCCGCUAAACCCCCCAAUUCUCACCAAAGGUUGACCUCGGAUCAGGUAGGAAUACCCGCUGAACUUAAGCAUAUCAAUAAGCGGAGGA
rnacentral:misc_RNA from 1 species